CACCCACCGCCAGAGUUCCCUGUCAGCCCGAAGCAACCCCUGUCGCCAUCGCAACGGGGCCCUGCCCGGCCCCGCCGCGCGUUCCGGGGGCCGGCGGCGCCCUCUGCCCCAGGAAACGGGAAAUGCAAAAUGUCAGCGACGGCACGGGGGUGGUUGGAGGCCUGACAGGGGUUUCUGUGAGGCAAAGCUCGUGGGACGGCCCGCGUUUCGCUCGAGUGGGUACCUGCGGUGCCAGGCCGAAAUCCUGAGCAGACCAUCAUCGACUUUGGAUUGGCUCUGUACGUUGCCCUCCUUCAUAGGACACCAGUGCCUGAAUCACAUAACCCUGGGAGCCAUACUCGACCACAGAAAUAAAUUGUGAAUCACUAAA